UACGUAGGGCGCAAGCGUUAUCCGGAAUUAUUGGGCGUAAAGAGCUCGUAGGCGGUUUGUCGCGUCUGCCGUGAAAGUCCGGGGCUCAACUCCGGAUCUGCGGUGGGUACGGGCAGACUAGAGUGAUGUAGGGGAGACUGGAAUUCCUGGUGUAGCGGUGAAAAUGCGCAGAUAUCAGGAGGAACACCGAUGGCGAAGGCAGAUCUCUGGGCCGUAACUGACGCUGAGGAGCGAAAGCAUGGGGAGCGAACAGG
rnacentral:rRNA from 1 species